UACGAAGGGGGCUAGCGUUAUUCGGAUUUACUGGGCGUAAAGCGCAUGUAGGAGGGUCGUUAAGUUGGGGGUGAAAUCCCGAGGCUCAACCUCGGAACUGCCUUCAAAACUGGCGACCUGGAGCAGGAUAGAGGCAAGUGGAAUUGCGAGUGUAGAGGUGAAAUUCGUAGAUAUUCGCAGGAACACCAGUGGCGAAGGCGACUUGCUGGAUCUUUGCUGACGAUGAGAUGCGAAAGCGUGGGGUGCAAACAGG
rnacentral:rRNA from 1 species